rnacentral:rRNA from 1 species
UACGUAGGGGGCAAGCGUUGUCCCGGAUUCAUUGGGCGUAAAGAGCGUGUAGGCGGCCAGGUAGGUCGGUUGUGAAACUGGAGGCUGCAACCUUCAGACGUCGACCGAACCACUGGCUAGAGUCCGGGAGAGGAGAGUCGGAAUCCUGGUGUAGCGGUGAAAUGCGCAGAGUAUCAGGAAGAACACCUAUGGCGAAGGCAGCUCUCUGGGACGGUACUGACGCUGAGACGCGAAAGCGUGGGGAGCGAACAGG